CCUCAUUUGACUAAGUGCAUGAACUUAAACUCCAGAGUUCGUAUUGCUUUAAAAAGAAUUCUAUUGUCUUCGUUUUUCUAUUGGUUAAUGAUGAGUUUAACUUUUUUUAAUGCAUUGUUGUUGGUCAUUCAGCAUCAUAAUGAACCACAAUUGAUUACUGAUAUAACAGGUUGGGCCCAAAAAGCGUUCAUGGUAUUUUUUACCUUGGAAGUAAUUUUAAAGUUGUAUGCUCUUGGUCCACAGUUGUACUUUUCUAAACUGUCUGAUAAGUUUGAAUUUGUUGUUAUGACUUUAUGGCUUUUCGAUUUUUUUUUAUUGAAAUAUGCUGGUUUCAACUUUGCUUUUUUUGUUUUGCAUCAGCUGCAACUUGUCAGACUUUUCCAGCACACAAGAGUUUGGGGAUCUAUUAAGAAAUUAAAGUCAUCAAUAUUUUACAGCAUAUCAUCUGUUUUGAGUUUGAUUCUGCUUUUUUUUAUUGUUGCUGUCAGUUUUGCUUUACUUGGAAUGAGUCUUUUUGGAGCAGUUUGGUACAAUAUAGUUCCUAAGCCGCGUACAAACUUUGAUGAUUUUUUUAAUUCUAUGUUGACUGUUUUUCAGAUAAUGAUGGGAGAUGGUUGGAAUAAUGUUAUGUAUGAUGCAAUCAAGGCAUAUGGUGGUGCUGAAAAACCAUUGGCUCUUUUAUCAUCCUUAUAUUUUAUUGUUGUAACUAUUGUUGGAAACUAUGUUUUGAUAAACAUUUUUUUGGCUAUUGCAUUAGACAAUAUUUCAUUAGCUGAAAAUGAUAACAAAGAAACUGUAGGAAAAGAAACACUUAAUUUUGAAGAACAUGAAAAUUUUAAUCAGAAACCAAAUCAAAGUACUAAUCCUCUUAGUAUUGAAAUACCAGAAGAAAGUCAUGGUGAUGAAGUGAUACCCAAGCCAGAUUCAGAAAAGUUGUUGAUGGAAGUCAACACGCUAUUUAUUUGUUUUCCAAAUAACCCAUUACGAAAGAUUGCUCACAAAGUUGUCAACGCUCAAUCUUUCACCAAUCUGACACUGUUUCUUAUAGUCAUAAGCAGUGGUAUGCUUUCUCUUGAGGAUUCAACUAAUCCAGAUGCUAAAAUUAAUAAGAUUUUGAAGAAUUUUGAUAUUGCAUUUACAACCUACUUUACAUUUGAGGUUCUUCUCAAGAUCAUCAACUUUGGUUUUUGUUUUCAUAAUGGAGCUUAUUGUAGAGAAAUAUGGAACUGCUUUGAUUUGUUUAUUGUGCUAACUAGCAUUAUCUCAGUUGUUUUAAGCAUGAUCAAAAGUACUCCAGCUAAAGUGAAAUCAUUUUUGAAGAUUCUUCGCUUGCUUCGAGCAUUUCGUUGCCUAAAAUCAGUCAAUAAUAUUCCAAAGUUAAAGCUAAUUAUUCAAUGCAUUGGUUCUUCAAUAAAAAAUGCUAGUGGGAUAAUGGCAGCAAUUUUUCAAUGUUAUUUCAUUUUUGCAGUAAUGGGUGUGCAACUAUUUCAGGGGCAGUUUAACUAUUGUACAGAUGAAUCAAAAAUAAAAGAAAAAGAUUGCAGGGAAUUUUUUAUUUCAUUUGAUGAAUCAAACUACAACUUCCUUGUUAAAAAAGAGAGAGUGUGGAAGAAAAAUAACUUUAAUUUUAACCACUUUGGAUUCGCAUUAUUAUCAUUGAUAUCAUCAUCAAGUGGAGAGAGAUGGUCUGCUUUAAUGCAAAGUGGGGUUGACAGUGAAGGUGUGGAUGAAGGUCCCUUGAGAAAUAACAAAAUUUGGUUAUCACUUUAUUUUAUUGCAUUUCUAAUAACUAUAUCAUUCUUUUUAACAAGUCUAUUUGUUGGAAUGAUUGUUUACACAUUUAAAAAGAAAUCUGGUGAAAUUGAAGGAGAAUUAGAUAGAAACUCUAUAAACAGCAUAGAUUUUGUAAUUAAAGCAAAACCACGGCCUCGUUUUAUGCCUAAUGAUGUAAAAAGUUUGAAAUACAAAGUUUGGGCAUUAAUUGAGUCACGCUGCUGGGAGAUAUUUAUUGUAUUAAUGGUUUCAUUGAACUCUGCUGCAAUGUUAAUGGAGUUUGAUGGACAAAAAAAAGAGUAUGAAGAAGUUAUGAAUUUGAUAAACAAUGUGUUGAUUUUUGUUUUUGUUUUAGAAGCUGCAAUAAAAAUAUUUGCCCUAAGAUGUAAUUAUUUCAAGGAUUUUUGGAAUAUAUUUGAUUCGUUUAUUGUAUUUGUGGGAUUAUUGGAUUUUGUGAUGACACAAACAGAAACUCAAGGAUUGUUUGAUACAAGUAUAUUUUCUCUCUUCCGUGCUUUUCGUUUUAUUAAACUUAUGCAAAGAGUUCGUCCAAUCAGAAUACUUAUUUGGACAUUUCUGAAGUCUUUACAGGCUCUUCCAUAUCUAGGAGGUUUAAUUUUUAUUUUAUUCUACAUUUAUGCUGUGAUAGGAAUGCAGCUCUUUUCCUUGAUAUCUGUUUCUCACAAUGAUGAUGAUGUACCUUGGUCAUACAUUAAUAAACGCAAUAAUUUUCGAACAUUUUUAAGUUCACUUCAGGUUUUAUUUAGGAUGACAUCAGGUGAAAACUGGCCAGAUAUAAUGCUGGCUUGCACUAAAAAUGCAAAAUGUGACAAAGAAUUAAAAGCUGUUGAACCUGAUAUGGAAACUUGUGGAAGUGAUGUUGCAUAUUUCUAUUUUAUCUCAUUUAUUUUACUUUGUUAUUAUUUGAUGCUCAACUUGAUUUUGGCAGUUAUAAUGGAUAACUUUUCAUAUUUAACAGAUGAUUCAAGCAAGCUUGGGCCACACCAUUUAGAUGAAGUUGUUAUGGUUUGGUCUGACUUUGACCCAAGGGCAACUGGUCGAAUAAAGCAUACAGAAGUUAUUCAACUUCUCAAAGAAAUGAUGCCCCCUGUUGGACUUGGUCCAUAUUGUAUAAAGGUUUUGGCAUACAAGCGUUUAGUGCAAAUGAAUAUGAUACUAUAUGACGAUGGUUCCGUGGAUUUCAAUGGUUUUUUCUUUGCUUUAGUGCGAACAGCUCUCAACAUUUAUACCAAAAAUGGUAACUUUCUAAAAAUGUUAACUUUCUAAAAAUGACAAUCUUAAAAGUAAUGAUGAUGCAAUCCGCAAAAUGUUGGUAGCAAUUUGGCCAAAAAUAAGGAAACGUACUUUAGACUUGUUUAUUCCUCGUCCACCAAAAAACGCCAAACAAAUGACCAUUGGAAAGAUUUAUGCUGCGAAAUUAAUUAUCUACAAUUACAGAAAUAUUGUUCAAUCGAAUGCAUAGUUUGUACUAUAUCUUAUAAUAAGUUAAAAAUACAGACUUUUCAC
rnacentral:misc_RNA from 1 species